rnacentral:rRNA from 1 species
AUGAACCUGGCCCUCCUCACUCGUUGGCUGUGGUGCAUUGCAAACGGCGAUGGUGGCUUGUGGCUACAGAUCAUCCGCCGCAAAUACCUGCGCGACCAGCCCCUCGCUUUCUGCGUUAGGACGGGCGAUUCCCAGUUUUGGCAGUCUGUCGUUCAGCUCCUCCCGCUCCUUCGCAUUGGGACCUCCAUCGCGGUUGGCACUGGAUCGGCCACGCUAUUUUGGUUCGACCGCUGGGCCGGUGAUCUCCCUUUCGCGGCCCGGUUCCCUGACCUCUUUUCCAUAGCGGUUGAACCUAGGAUCUCCGUCGAGUCGGCCCUUAUUGACUUAGGGCGUCUCGCGUUCCGGAGGCCAUUUGGGCCGCCGGAGGUUGCCGCUUGGCAUGAGCUCCUUGAUUCAGUGGCUCUCCAUGAGCCGGACUUGUCGCAGCACCACGACGACCGCCUGUCCUGGCAUCUCGAGCCAUCUGGCCGCUUCUCCACGAAGUCUCUUUACCGCACCAUCGCGCCCUCUCCCGGAUCGGGCGUCCUCGACUCUAUAUGGUCUAUCCGCGUGCCCCUCAAAAUUAGAAUCUUCAUGUGGCAAUGGAUCCGUGGCCGGCUCCCCUCGGGCGUGGAGGUCCUGAAGCGCCAGGGUCCCGGUGAUGGUAUCUGCCCCCUAUGUGGGACGGCGGAAACCUCGAAUCACAUCUUCUUCUCGUGCGUGUCCGCCCAGUUUCUUUGGGGCUGCCUCCGAGAGGUCAUCGGUGGCAACUAG